CUGGUGACAGCACGUGGCUGUGAGAGGCCAGGCGCUUGGAGCAUUGGAAGAAAGACUUUAUCUGCACCUUGUGGCCUUGGCAUUCUUUAAGGAAAGGGGAAAAGGUCCUGCGACAUUGAGCAAAUUGCCUUCUCUCAGUCUAUUUGCUCAUCUGUAAAAUGGAAGUGAUGACAGUAUCUCCCUCAGAAAGUUGUUGUGAAGAAUAAAAGCCUGGCACAGGGUGAGGGCCUCGUAACUCAUCAUCAUCACCACCACCACCACCACCACCAUUAUUGUUGGUUUAAUCAUUUUUGUUGUUAUGGAUAUUAUCAAGCUGGACAGCCUGACUUUCAAUCCCGGCUGUGCCACUCAUCAGCUGUGAAUUCAGGCAAAUCGUUGAACUUCCCUGCACCUCAGUUUCCCCAUCUUGUUGAGUUUUUGUGUGGAUUAAAUAAAUCAUUAAAGUAAAACUUCUGCAUGUGUGUGUUAAGGUCCCAGGGGCAAGGUGAGCUGUCCCCUCCUCGACGACUGGGUGAGGAGCUUGUAGAUGAUAUGUCAGCGUGUGCUUCGGUUACAAUUCAUUUCAGUGCUUUCUGGCCGCCCCUCCUUGCUGACACUCGCCAGAGAAAUAUUCCGUGGAGGUGUUAAAACAAGACCAGUGGAAAGAAACUGUAACUUAAGAUGAAAGAAAAUCCCUGGCAGUGAAGAACAGAUUUUGUAUUAGCACUGUCAUAAUAUUCUUUAAUGUAUCACAUAAAUAAAAACCUGUUUUGACCAGAAUUUUAACGAGCGACCAAA